GGUAGCGAAAUUCCUUGUCGGGUAAGUUCCGACCUGCACGAAUGGCGUAAUGAUGGCCAGGCUGUCUCCACCCGAGACUCAGUGAAAUUGAACUCGCUGUGAAGAUGCAGUGUACCCGCGGCAAGACGGAAAGACCCCGUGAACCUUUACUAUAGCUUGACACUGAACAUUGAGCCUUGAUGUGUAGGAUAGGUGGGAGGCUUUGAAGCGUGGACGCCAGUCUGCGUGGAGCCAACCUUGAAAUACCACCCUUUAAUGUUUGAUGUUCUAACGUUGGCCCCUGACCGGGGUUGCGGACAGUGUCUGGUGGGUAGUUUGACUGGGGCGGUCUCCUCCCAAAGCGUAACGGAGGAGCACGAAGGUUAGCUAAUCCUGGUCGGACAUCAGGAGGUUAGUGCAAUGGCAUAAGCUAGCUUGACUGCGAGCGUGACGGCGCGAGCAGGUGCGAAAGCAGGUCAUAGUGAUCCGGUGGUUCUGAAUGGAAGGGCCAUCGCUCAACGGAUAAAAGGUACUCCGGGGAUAACAGGCUGAUACCGCCCAAGAGUUCAUAUCGACGGCGGUGUUUGGCACCUCGAUGUCGGCUCAUCACAUCCUGGGGCUGAAGUAGGUCCCAAGGGUAUGGCUGUUCGCCAUUUAAAGUGGUACGCGAGCUGGGUUUAGAACGUCGUGAGACAGUUCGGUCCCUAUCUGCCGUGGGCGCUGGAGAAUUGAGGGGGGCUGCUCCUAGUACGAGAGGACCGGAGUGGACGCAUCACUGGUGUUCGGGUUGUCAUGCCAAUGGCACUGCCCGGUAGCUAAAUGCGGAAGAGAUAAGUGCUGAAAGCAUCUAAGCACGAAACUUGCCCCGAGAUGAGUUCUCCCUGAGACUUUAAGUCUCCUGAAGGAACGUUGAAGACGACGACGUUGAUAGGCCGGGUGUGUAAGCGCAGCGAUGCGUUGAGCUAACCGGUACUAAUGAACCGUGAGGCUUAACCUU
rnacentral:rRNA from 1 species